rnacentral:misc_RNA from 1 species
UCUCCGUUGGUGAGCCAGCGGAGGGAUCAUUACAGCACUCGCAAGACUCCUUCACCCUGUGAACCUCACUACAAUCACGUUGCUUCGUCGGGUGUCCCGGCGGGGGUUUUCCCUCGCCGGGGCGCACAGCCCGCCGGCAGCCUACUAUACUCUGUCUCUUUGCGUUGGCAUAUCGAGAAAAAACAAACAAGUAAAGACUUUCAACAACGGAUCUCUUGGUUCUG